rnacentral:snRNA from 1 species
GUGCUUGCUUCAACAGCACAUAUACUAAAAUUGGAAAAAUACAGAGAAGAUUAGCAUGGUCCCUGUGCAAGCAUGACACACAAAUUUGUAUAUAUAUAAAGAAUUAG